AUUGAACGCUGGCGGCAGGCUUAACACAUGCAAGUCGAGCGGGGAAAGGUAGCUUGCUCCCUGACCUAGCGGCGGACGGGUGAGUAAUGCUUAGGAAUCUGCCUAUUAGUGGGGGACAACAUCUCGAAAGGGAUGCUAAUACCGCAUACGUCCUACGGGGGAAAGCAGGGGACCUUCGGGCCUUGCGCUAAUAGAUGAGCCUAAGUCGGAUUAGCUAGUUGGUGGGGUAAAGGCCUACCAAGGCGACGAUCUGUAGCGGGUCUGAGAGGAUGAUCCGCCACACUGGGACUGAGACACGGCCCAGACUCCUACGGGAGGCAGCAGUGGGGAAUAUUGGACAAUGGGGGGAACCCUGAUCCAGCCAUGCCGCGUGUGUGAAGAAGGCCUUUUGGUUGUAAAGCACUUUAAGCGAGGAGGAGGCUACCGAGAUUAACACUCUUGGAUAGUGGACGUUACUCGCAGAAUAAGCACCGGCUAACUCUGUG
rnacentral:rRNA from 1 species